ACACAAACCCAAAAUCUGAUGUAUAAUUUUUUACUGGAGAUGAUACGUUCGAAGGACAGAUUGCUGACGUUAUUGGGUUCAUUGGUGACAUUGGCGACAAGAGGAAAUGAACUUGAUGUAAUGAUUACGUCAGCAAGUUGCUUGGUCACUGAUUUUUAUCUAAAUUGGGCUUGAGCGCAAGAUGAUGAAAUCGUUACUAUGCAGUUUCUAACAGUUAUAAUAUUGCCAUUCAGGAUGCAGGAAGGUAAUUUUAAAGAUUCGAUCUUUGGAAAUGAUGGAAGUAAAGUGCCUCCUGACGAUGACAUUAAAGAAUGUUGCUGGGAAUGGGUUGAAUGUUUUGAUGUAUUGUUCAGCUAAAAAUGCAUAAAUGACAUCUUUAAAUAAAAUAAUGCCCAUCAGAGAAAACAUGGAGCGGGGGCAAAGAAAAGAAAAUGUAAAGAGCGAUUAUUUACGUAGUAAUCUUAUUCAUCUUCUUUAUUAAAAGAAUUGAGUUUGAAAAUGGCUGCAAACUUAGUUCAAGGUAUUGAUAGAAUUCCUGGUCAACUUGGUUAUUUAGUUGUCAACUCUGAUGGAGCUGUUAUUGCUUCUGGAGGAUUUAGAAAAUGAAGAAAAUGUUGCAGAUGUCAUUGUUAAACUGUUAAAGUAUGCUACAAAAAUUCCUCUAUCUACUGAUGAUAAUCAAAAUUGCAAGAGGAUAUCAGUUGUUUACAAGGAUUUUACCUUGUCGGCUACUGUUUCUAGCAGCAAAAUUUAUGUCAUAAAAAAGGAAAAUGAGUUUCCAUGAUGGUAUGGGAUAAAAGAAGGAUUUUUUAAAUCACAAAAAUUUUGUUAAAAUACGUGGAUAUAUAUACUCAUGAUUGAGUCUGAUUGAGUUAUUAAUUCAUAUUAUAGAUAAUGAAAAAAUCUUGAACCUUCUUGA